rnacentral:lncRNA from 10 species
UCCACACCCCUGCCCCGCCUCCUCCCGGUAGGAAACUCCGGGACCCUGCAAGGGAUGACUCACCCCAGUGAUUCAACCGCGCCACCGAGCGCGGAGCUGCCCUGGAGGACGCAGGCGGGUCUAGUUGCCCGGGUCCCCCAAGGCCCCCGGAUUCACCCAGGCCCGCGACUCCGACGUGCAGCUUAGGUGGGUUGCAGGUCUAUGGCAGGAAAGGGAGGGCGCCUUGGAAGAAUUCUUCCCUUCCAUUUGGUGAUAAAGUGGGAGAGGCGGCAUUUACAACAUUUAAUAGAAAGCACGGGCUCUGGGCUCCCCUCGGGCAGCGGAGGGCAUUUCCCGGAUGCUUUGCCCACCUGGGGCAGAAGCUCGGGACCUGCAGCGAAGUAAACGUGUGGCUGUGAGCAGGGCCCUCUCCCAGCCACGGUGGCUUCUUCUACCCCACGAAGGUCAAGAAUACCUGGCCUGCCCACCUCGCGGGGCCCUUAGCGGGUCGCACAGGAGAAAGGCGGUGGGAAUGCCGGUGUCAGCCACGGUGUGACCGGCUCGGCUCACAGGUCUGAGGGUCAGUUGGCUCAGGCAUCGCCCGGUACGACCAGAGAUAGUGACUGAGGAAGAGCAGCCUCACAUCUGGCAGUUUGCCUCUGGGAGAAUUCCAGCGUGACAUCUGCAGCUCUGUGGUUCCAGAAAGGAUGGUUCCCACAUUGAAGAAGACAUCUGUGGGACUGAGUUCCACCGAAAUGCAGAGGAACCAAAAAUGAAAAUGAAAAAUGUAACCAGAGUUGUGUGCCACUAGUUUUAAGCUUUGGUUUUUCUAAAUUAUUUUCUGGCUUCUCCUUCUGGGCUUUGCUGUAAACUUGCCAAGCAUGAGAACAACUCUUCAUCUAUUGAGUGGCAUUUUAAGCCAUCCUGUCAAAGUAUCUCCUGUCAUUUUUAUUAUUAUUACUCUAUAUUGCCUGCAAGACACGACUGGAGAAUUCUUAGUCCUAGUUAACAGAUGCUCCAAAUUUUGAGCCUGUAACCCUUCCAAUCCCUUGCUGCCUUUGAUGGUGAUGCUCCAUCCUAUUAUACCAACUCCACAUUGAAGCAGAACUCUCAAGACAGAGGUAAUUCCUUAGUAAGCAAAGUUAUUUUUCACACUGGAAACAUGUUUGUUUGACUGGUUGUAAUUGUCAUCCUAAACCAUCAUUACCCUUUAUGUUACAACAUUUUAGCAUCUCACAGUUCUAAAUCAACUACUUCUAUUCUCACAGUUCUAAAUCAAAUACUUCUAUUCCUUGCCAUAAGGGGAAUAACAGGUUGCUUUAGCGUCAUUGUUUGUGCCCCCUCACACCCACCCAGCAAAUCCGUAUGUUGAAAUCCUCACCUCCAAUGUGAUGGUGUUAGGAGGCGGAGCCAUAAGUAGAUGAUCUGGUCGAGGAUGGAGCCUUUGUGAAUGGGGUUAGUGC